rnacentral:rRNA from 1 species
GUCUACAGCUAUGCCACCCUGAACGUCCCAGAUCUCGUCUGAUGUUGGAGGCUAAGCAGGGUUGGGCCUGCUUAGUAUUUGGAUAGGAGACCACCUAGGAAGACCAGGUGCUGUAGGCA